AAUACUCCUGACCAGCUUCCACUGUGUGGAGCUCUGAUUUAGAAGCAAGCAAUUGUAGGAGCAGGGAAAAUACGGCUGCCAAACUUUGGUCACAAUAGUUUGUCAACCAAACACAGCUGCAGAGUCCUCAUGGGAUAAUGACAGUCAUCCCAGAGAGAAAUUGCCAAAGCCUGGAAGCUUCUGCCAGCCACCCUCAAUAGGCACAGUUGUGCAGUAACCAGUUUAAAAUGCUCGGUAAGUCUGAACACCCAGUGGACAUUGGCUUCGGCAUCACUUGGAUGUAUGUCCCUGAGAGGCUAGGUGCUUCAGGCUUGUUCCUGUGUGUGGGCUACAGUGGUGAGACAUUAAAGACAUGGGGACCAGUGAAAGGUAAUUAGGUCAUGGCUUUUCAAGCUUCGUGAAUGGAUUAAGUCUGUCUGUUGGACUGGAUUAGUUCUGGAGGAAAUGGGUUGAUAUAAUCAGGUUUGGCACCUGCCCUGAAUCCCUUUUCCAAACGCAUUCCCACAACCACGAGACCAUCUGCUGUGAGGCCAUCUGCUAUGACCCUGCUGUAGUCAACCAGAUGCUGUCACUGUGCUCUUGGAACUUGAGAACAGUGAGCCAAAUAAACUCGUUUUCUAUGUAAUGAACCUAGCCUUGGGGACUUUGUUAUAGCAACAGAAAACAUACCAGGGGUAUAGUACUUUCCAUCGUGAUGAUAAAAUAUCUGAGAACAACUUAAGAGGAGAAGUAUUCAUUUUGAUUCAUGGUCUCAAAGGUUUCAAUUCAUGGUCUCUUGCUCUGUUGCUUCUAGACCCACCAUGGUGAGGCGGAGCUCCAUGUCCAAGGGUCCAUGGUAGAGCAAAGCAACUCACCUUGUGGUGGGCUGGAGACAGGGAGUGACAGAAAGGGGUCAGGGUAAGGCUCAUCCCUAAUGCAUAUCCUGGUGACCCAGUUCCUUUGACCAAAGCCAACUCUUCAUUUCCAUCAAUCUAUGAGAGGACCCAAACUUGAAUCUCAUCACCCACAUUGGAUGGCUCACACCACCUAUAACUUCUGCUCAAGUGUGAUCUAAUGCCAUCUCCUGACUUCUGAGGGUACCUGCACUCAUAACACACACACACACACACACACACACACACCACUAUCUAUCAUGACCAAAGUUUGGCAUUAUGUCAUCGGGCAGACCCCAGGGGCUCAUUGGCCAACUGACCUCGGCUCCUUGGUGAACUCUCGGCCAAUAGGAGACUGUCUGAAGAAGAACAAGAAAGCAGGGCCUGGGAAAUGACUCCGUGAAUAAGGUACUUGUCUCAUAGUGUGAGGACCUGACCCCUACCCCAUGUAAAUACCCAGUAGGCUUGGUGACCACUUGUAAUUCCAGAACUUGUUUAAGUCAGGGAUCCCUGGAGAAUUUGGCUAGCUACAUUGGAUGGGAGAGUCAACCUCUGGGAUCAUUUCAGAGACUUGUCUCAAUGAAUAAGCUGGAGAGCGACCGAGGGAGACUCAGAAUAUCAGCCUAAGGCCAUUCAUGUGCACACAUGUGCAUCAGUGCCAUACACAACACACACACACACACACACACACACACACACAGCACCCGAGGAACCACACCUGAGGUUGUCAUCUGGCCUUCACAGAUGUGCAUAUCCAUGAUCUCUCUUCCCUUCCCUGCCCCUGUCCCUCUCCCUGUCUCUUACACACACACACACACACACACACACACACACACACACACACAGCCUCAGCAUUCUUCACUUCCCCAAAGCCUCAGCAUCUGGGAAGCAAGGCUGUAGCCCUCAACACAUAACCCAAUCAGGCUGGACAUUCAGCACCCGCUUUGAAUUUUGAUCUAUUGAACUCACAAGGUGCUCCACCAGCUCGUCACCAAACAACAUUUUUAUUUUCCCAGUUUGCCCAGAACCUACCUCAGGGUUCAUCCCCACCCUUAUUUAAGAUUGCUUAGAAGAACUGUGGAGAAAAGUCCGAGAACUCACCCUCUGGAAGUCUGGCCCAGUUUUCAUCACAUCCAUCUCUUCAACUGAAGUUAAAAUCUCCAUUCUAAUGCCCUGGGAGAUAGUCCCCAAGUGCUUUCUGCAAAGACACUCUCUUCCACUUUGAUUUAUUUGUUAUUUAUUAGCUUUUGAUCAGAAGCAGAUGCGGGGGGAGGAAGCCGUCUAUCAUAUUGAUAUCACCCCACAGGCAUACUGCAAUUCAUUGGGCUUUGGGGGUUUUCUCUGGACUCUUCCCAGAGAGAGACAUCUUAAGACAAGGGAGCUGCAAAGACACGCUGAGUAUUGCUUGAUGUCUUUCUUUUCAGAAGCAGCAGUGGGGUGGCCCUUACAAAAAUAGUUUGCCAGUUGUAAGAAUGGAUGACUGCGUACAUGUAUAGGUGUUGGGAAAUGUCUGUAUGGGAAAGGAGAAGUGAACUUACAGGGCUGUGGGGAUCUGAGGGUGACCCAACAGACACUGGAUUGAAGGUAAAGGCUUCACCAGGUAGAUACAUGACUUUAAAAAAUGUAUUUCUUGUCUCCCUAGUGGCACCAGACAGUAAUGAGAACCCCGAGUUUGAGUUCUAAACACCAGUCUCUACCAAGAGAGAAGUGACAGGUCCAGACCACCGUGAGAGAUGGGACAAAGUCAGCUCGAGUGUCUUCCAAUCUCAGAAUAAGGAUGUGCCCAAAGACAAUGUAGAAGCAUGCAAGAAUGGCUGACAAGAGAGUGCUCCUGCCGGCUAAAUGUGGCACAAUUUGAAUGUAUGCACAGAUCUAAAAUAAUACCUUAGAAAGAGGAUGGAGAGGCAGGCUGUCUUUAUGAAAUGGUACCAAUUAACAAAAAGAAGGAGAGACCUCAAACUGUCAUGCUUCAUCGUGGCAGGGCAGCUACUAUUCAGUGAGGAUGGAAAGCUGUUGGGAGCCACUUCUGAACUUUUGAUUGCUCAUGGUGGGGGGCAGGGGGAGGGGGAGGCAGGAAGCCCACCUUUAUUAAUACUAACAUUGUCACCAUUGAUGAUAUGAACUCUCAUAUGUUCACAGUAAGUGUCCUCCAGGCCCAGGGGCGCCCGGCACCUAUCUCUGGAGCCCAAGCAGACUUCCCAAGAGAGUUACUUGAUGUCUCCCCAUCCCCCUAUCUCGUCCCUGCUGGCCCUGGAGGAGGGGGUCAUAUGUGACCUCAGGACCUCUGCAGCAACUUCCUUAAUUGCUGGAUUCUGUUACUUGUGCCGUUUGGACAUGGCUGCUGCUGGUCUUUUGGAAUGGUACUGAGCACACAUGAACUAGGAGGCUUGUGAGUUCUGGAGAGCACACUGUGACUGUGCAAGUGUCCUGGAGAAAGUCAGAGCGAUCUGGUGUACAUUACUUCUGGUUCAAGACUUGCCAGAGCUCCUGGGAUCCACAGUAAUUAUGCAUUGUUAAACAACCCACAGCAAGCUUCAUCAGGCUUCUGUUUCUACUCAUCACCCUUCCCAAACCACUCUCAACCCAGGAAAUUUUUGUGUGACCCCAGAUAGUUAGAUAUACUUGCAUAGUCACACAGAUCAUACGAUUACUAAUAAUGUAUCAUAAAGAAAUUUACUACCUGGGCAUGGUGGUGCACGCCUUUAAUCUGAGCAUUUGGGAGGCAGAGGCACGUGGAUUUCUCUUAAAUCAAGGCCAAUCAAAUCUAUAUAGUGAGUUCCAUGCCAGCCAGGACGCAUAGUGAGACUCCGUGUCUCAAAAUAAAAAUAAAGAAAAAAUAAAAUUUAAUAUCCUUAUUUUUACUUUGUUACUUGCCCCUUUGAACAUAAAUAAAAUAUUGGCUGAUAAGGGAUACAUGACUAGCCAGAUCAGUAUUUUUGUGGGGGGAGCAGCCUGUGCCAGAAAACACCUCAACAGAAAAUAUGCUACAGUUGCAAAGGCUAUACUCUCUGGAUGUCGGACUUGUCCCAAACUGUCCAACACGCGACACAUGCAAACAUAGCUUGCACAUCUGCUCUGUGGACUUGCAACUGUAAACUGCUUUCUCAAACAUACCUUCAAUUUAUUCUCUCAACCCUGCGAGUGAAGCUAGGCAGGAAGUUCAGUGGGAAUGCUGUACUGAGUUACAUGAUCCAAAAAAUGCUUUCUCUCUGUUCAGUCAAACCCUCAGGCUAGCCUGAGGCUCCCAGGGAAGCAAAAUACAAAAAUGAAAUGAAUCACAGAGCAGGCGGGAUUGACUAUCAAAAGUCAGCACAAAGCAACCUUGAGCAGCUAUGGACAAAAAAAAAAAAAAAAUAAAAAAAUAAACAAAGAAGUCAAAUCAAAUGGACUCAGAGCCAUGCCUCACACUGCAUCACAGACUUGAAUCUAAAACAGAAAUCUUUCAGAUGAAGGAAGGAGAGGAGAGGGCUGGUCCAAGUUGUCUUGUUAGACUUGACACCCAAAGCAGAUUCAGAAAAGGGAAAAUUCAGCCCACUGGAACACAAAGAGCAUUGCAUUUGUUUGGGGCUAAUUAGGGUUGCAGUCUAGGAAAACACAGGCUCCAGCUGCCUAGAAAAACAUGCUCUGUGUUUAGCUUUGAGCCUCAAGGGGCUGGCAAUGACAUCAUCCAUUAGUCAGGAAUUUAAAGUUAAGCUGUUAAGAAGAGCUUGGGGAUAGCUUAGCCUCUGGCUCACUUGGUGGGUGGGAGUGCUGUGGGAGGGGGCUAGGGGAUGUCAGCAGUACUUCCAGGGUGAGCUUGCUUCUGGGUGGGUGUGCCCAAUGGCCUCCAGACACCUGUUGAAUUGCCCGAACCAAAGUGCCUCCAUUUUGAAUUCCUUUUUCUUGAGACUCCUUCCAGACAGACUCCUUCUGUUCCACCAUCUAUCUGGUGUAUGGAAUUGGCUGCCAGCCAGCCUGAUGAUGCAGCCCUGUCACCCCAGCAACUGGGAAGUUGAGAUAGGAGGGGAUUAUUAAAUUCAAAACCAGCCCAGGUUUAAGUGAGUUAAAGGCCUGCCUGGACAGCUUCUGAAGGCCUCAUCUUAAGAUUUAAAAAAAAAAGGAAAAAAAAGUGUGUUAGCUAGUGUUAUGUCAACAUGACACAAGCUAGAGUCAUUUUGGAAGAGGGAAGAGACACUAAGAAAUGCCCCUACCACAUUAGCCUAUUGGCAAGCCUGUGAUGUAUUUUAUGAUUGACAACUGAAGUGGGAGGGCCCAGCUCACUGUGGGUGGUGCCAGUCCCAGGGCAGGUGGUCCUGAGUUCUAUAAGCAGGUUGAGCAAGCCACCAGGAGCAAGCCAGUAAGCAGCAUUCUUCCAUGGCCUCUGCUUCAGCUCCUGCUUCCAGGUUCCUGCUUUGAGAUACUGCCCCAUUUCCCUGGAUGAACUACAAACUGUGAGCUGGAGUAAACCUUUUCCAUGCUGCUUUUGGUCACAGAAAUAGGAAACCUAACUAAGACAGAGAGGUGGGGACCUAGCUCAGCAAUAAGGAGCUUGCCUCAGAUUCUUCAUGCCCUAGGUUCACUCCCUAAUACUGAAAAGAAUACA
ensembl:lncRNA